rnacentral:rRNA from 1 species
UACAGAGGGUGCGAGCGUUAAUCGGAAUUACUGGGCGUAAAGCGCACGUAGGUGGCGACGUAAGUCGGGUGUGAAAGCCCCGGGCUCAACCUGGGAACCGCGCUUGAGACUGGCACGCUAGAGUUCGGGAGAGGAUGGUGGAAUUCCCAGUGUAGAGGUGAAAUUCGUAGAUAUUGGGAAGAACACCGAUGGCGAAGGCAGCCAUCUGGACCGACACUGACGCUGAGGCGCGAAAGCGUGGGGAGCAAACAGG